ACGAACGCUGGCGGCGUGCUUAACACAUGCAAGUCGAACGGAAAGGCCCUGCUUUUGUGGGGUGCUCGAGUGGCGAACGGGUGAGUAACACGUGAGUAACCUGCCCUUGACUUUGGGAUAACUUCAGGAAACUGGGGCUAAUACCGGAUAGGAGCUCCUGCUGCAUGGUGGGGGUUGGAAAGUUUCGGCGGUUGGGGAUGGACUCGCGGCUUAUCAGCUUGUUGGUGGGGUAGUGGCUUACCAAGGCUUUGACGGGUAGCCGGCCUGAGAGGGUGACCGGCCACAUUGGGACUGAGAUACGGCCCAGACUCCUACGGGAAGCAGCAGUGGGGAAUAUUGCACAAUGGGCGGAAGCCUGAUGCAGCAACGCCGCGUGCGGGAUGACGGCCUUCGGGUUGUAAACCGCUUUCGCCUGUGACGAAGCGUGAGUGACGGUAAUGGGUAAAGAAGCACCGGCUAACUACGUG
rnacentral:rRNA from 1 species